rnacentral:rRNA from 1 species
GACGAACGCUGGCGGCGUGCCUAAUACAUGCAAGUAGGACGCAGUUGCGAACGUGUGAGUAACGCGUAGGUAACUACCUAUUAGUGGGGGAUAACUAUUGGAACCGAUAGCUAAUACCGCAUACUAGUAGAUGGACCUGCGUUGUAUUAGGUAGUAGGUAGGGUAAUGGCCUACCUAGGCAACGAUACAUAGGCGACCUGGGAAGGUGAUCGGCCAAACUGGGACUGGGGCACGGCCCAGAAUCCUACGGGAGGCAGCAGGAGGGAAUCUUCGGAAAUGGGGGGAACCCUGGACGAGCAACGCCGCGGGAGUGAAGAAGGUUUUCGGAUCGUAAAGCUCUGUUGUUAAGGAAGCGGUACUUAACCAGAAAGGGACGGCUAACUACGUGCCAGCCGCCGCGGUAAUUC